UACAGAGGUCUCAAGCGUUGUUCGGAUUCAUUGGGCGUAAAGGGUGCGUAGGUGGCGCCGUAAGUCAGGUGUGAAAUUUCGGAGCUCAACUCCGAAACUGCAUUUGAUACUGCGGUGCUUGAGGACUGGAGAGGAGACUGGAAUUCACGGUGUAGCAGUGAAAUGCGUAGAUAUCGUGAGGAAGACCAGUGGCGAAGGCGGGUCUCUGGACAGUUCCUGACACUGAGGCACGAAGGCCAGGGGAGCAAACGG
rnacentral:rRNA from 1 species